AACACAUGCAAGUCGAGGGGCAGCGAGAUUGAAGCUUGCUUCAAUUGUCGGCGACCGGCGCACGGGUGAGUAACACGUAUCCAACCUACCGUUUACUCUCGGAUAGCCUUCCGAAAGGAAGAUUAAUACGGGAUGGUAUUGAGGUUUCACAUGAUAACUCAAUUAAAGAAAUUCGGUAAACGAUGGGGAUGCGUUCCAUUAGAUAGUAGGCGGGGUAACGGCCCACCUAGUCGACGAUGGAUAGGGGUUCUGAGAGGAAGGUCCCCCACAUUGGAACUGAGACACGGUCCAAACUCCUACGGGAGGCAGCAGUGAGGAAUAUUGGUCAAUGGGCGCGAGCCUGAACCAGCCAAGUAGCGUGAAGGAUGAAGGUCCUAUGGAUUGUAAACUUCUUUUAUACAGGAAUAAAGUGAGUCACGUGUGGCUUUUUGUAUGUACUGUAUGAAUAAGCAUCGGCUAACUCCGUGCCAGCAGCCGCGGUAAUACGGAGGAUGCGAGCGUUAUCCGGAUUUAUUGGGUUUAAAGGGAGCGCAGACGGUUUGUUAAGUCAGUUGUGAAAGUUUGGGGCUCAACCUUAAAAUUGCAAUUGAUACUGGCAGUCUUGAGUGCAGAUGAGGUAGGCGGAAUUCGUGGUGUAGCGGUGAAAUGCUUAGAUAU
rnacentral:rRNA from 1 species